rnacentral:rRNA from 1 species
UCCUACGGGAGGCAGCAGUGGGGAAUAUUGGACAAUGGGCGCAAGCCUGAUCCAGCCAUGCCGCGUGAGUGAUGAAGGCCCUAGGGUUGUAAAGCUCUUUCACCGGUGAAGAUAAUGACGGUAACCGGAGAAGAAGCCCCGGCUAAUUUUGUGCCAGCAGCCGCGGUAAUACGAAGGGGGCUAGCGUUGUUCGGAUUUACUGGGCGUAAAGCGCACGUAGGCGGAUCGAUCAGUCAGGGGUGAAAUCCCAGAGCUCAACUCUGGAACUGCCUUUGAUACUGUCGAUCUGGAGUAUGGAAGAGGUGAGUGGAAUUCCGAGUGUAGAGGUGAAAUUCGUAGAUAUUCGGAGGAACACCAGUGGCGAAGGCGGCUCACUGGUCCAUUACUGACGCUGAGGGGCGAAAGCGUGGGGAGCAAAAAGGAUUAGAUACCCUGG